GGACAGAUAAAUUUAUUUAUUUAUUUAUCAUUGCUGUGUUUCCUCAAUCGAGUGCAGAAAGAAGAAAAACAACACAACUGAUUUAAAAUAAAAAUAUAGAAAACAAUCUAAUGUAAGGUUCUGAUCCGGUUUGCUUUCAGCAGGAAGGCUGUCCUCUUUCCUGUUGCUCUUUCUCUUCUAUUAGUCCAUUUGUCCAGUCUGAAUCGGUUUUGAUUCGUUUCGAGACGAUUCGGAGUCGAAUAAUUUUCUAGUGAGAGUCGCACACUUCCAAACGAACUAGACUGAGAUGAGUAUUUGAUUCUCACUAGAAAGUGAUUCGACUCUGAAUAAACUCGAAAUGAAUCAGUCAAACUGAUUCAGACUCUAUAAAAGGACUAUGAGAUGUGAUUAAGAUAUAUAUUCCAAUGUUUUGCUUUACAAUUCCAUUGUGUGUGUGUGUGUGUGUGUGUGUGUGUGUGUGUGUGUGUGUGUGUGUGUGUGUGUAUAUGUGUGUGCGUGCGCGCGCACGUGUGUUUUUCAGGAGAACGAGAAACUCGGACACAACAGUACAUCCUGACCAUUGGUACUGUGUACACAUCAACAUACACACACGUCUCCAUGCUGGACAUCUCAGGAGCUUUCACACACAGUGCUAGGAAUAUCCCGGGACAGAGAAACGCACCUUCUAAGUGAGCGAGUUUAGCGUCAACCGGUGAAAUUUGCUGUAGCGUGAACACUUUGCCUCUGUGAGCUUCACUCUCCGAAAAGAAAUGAUCUUUCGAGGCAGCUUCUUCAUCACUACCUGCUCCGUUUGACUCAAAAAUGUAACGACCGGUUUCAAAAAGUCACGAUGUCUUCAGUUCAUGUGAUUUUACUGUUGAAUUUAAACAGGAAAUGUGAAAUAUUUUUCCCUUUGUUUCCUCUACUGUCUUUUUGCUGUGAUCUUGAACACAGUUGUAAUUUAAAAAAAUAAAAAUAAAUAAAUGAUCAUUCUAGUUCUCUCACUUUCCUUGUCCUAAUUGUCCUGUAUCUGUUAAAUCCGUUUCAUCUCUGGUCUUUCUGUCUGUAUGAACACUUGUAGAAAUGACUUGUAGUCCA
ensembl:lncRNA